UAUGCAUGCGUUAGAGUCCGAGAAGCACUGCUUCCUUAAACAACUGCGUUAAAAACGUCAUAGAAACUGUAAAAUUAAAAGGGACUAUUUAAUUUCUAGGAUACUACUGAAUGAAUUAACAUCGAAAAAUGACCAUAAUGAAGAACGGGCCAGUCGACCAGAGAAUACUUAAAUGACGACGUUUAGGUACUUUGCAGCAACCAUGGUCACAUGCAGACGAGAUGAAAAAGACCCCCGAGGACAGAAAAAACCGGUAUCGUCAACUUCGAACUGACAACUUAUGACAGGAUGGUGCAACCCCUUACUAGCGUAAUUAAUAACAAGCCGCAAUCUAAAAUAUUUACAGCGCACGCGUAUAGGCAUUGGCUGUUACACAAUACCCACAAAAUCAGCUACAUUGGCUCACUUGACUCGUCCAUUAUCGCUGAUACUUCUUUCAUAAUUAUCACAAAAAAGUUUCUAUUCUAACAAAGUUCUAUUACUUCGAAUAAGUAGUAUAAUUUGUUUUUUUCAUCUAAUUAUGAGACGCCCUUUAAAGAUAUGAGACAAAAAUAUACAUGUUUAAAUUAUAUGCUUACAAAUGAUUUUUGAAGAUAUAAGUAACAA